rnacentral:sRNA from 1 species
GUUGUCAGAAGGUAUUGUUCACAGCCAGUUACAGAUGGAAAUUCUUGUUCUACCUUUUCCCCCUUCUCACAACUUCACCUGACUAGUCUUAA